ensembl:lncRNA
AUGGCAGUUUGCAAAAUGGUGUACUUUCUCUACAGCAUCCUUUUCAUUACCCACCUAAACUAUCUGUCUCAGUUCACAAAAGCCCAAGGGUUUCCCCCCACACUGAGGGCGUCCUCGUCCAUUAUGAGUGAGAGAGACUCAGUUGAGCUGAGCUGUGACUUCUCUCAGUCUCCUCCUGUGUCUCAGUGUGAUUUCUUCUUUGGGAGAGAGGCACAGAAGUACAGAGCCCCCUCAUGCCAGCUGUCCCUCACAGGGGAGGAACUGAUGAGAUGGUCAGGCCUGGUCAGUUUACCUGCUCUGGUCAAAGUGAAAUGUUCGUCAGCUGAUGAACCGUCACAACAUUCACACACAGUUUCACUCAUUGUUAAAGAAGCACCUUCUGUUCCUCCAAAAGCCCACCUGAUGAUCUCCCCUGCAGUCAUCAGAGAGAGUGACACACUUCAGAUGACUUGUGAAGUACCUCAGUCUCAGUCUGCGUCUCUGUGUUCAUUCUACCCUGAUGGGAUAGAGGCUGCUCCAUACAGUAAAUCAUCAUGUCAGAUCUCCCUCACUGGUGUUCAGCUCCUGCAGUGGACACGGCAGAGUUCCCCUCUAGAGGCUAAAGUGUGGUGUUAUUAUACAGUAACAUCACCAGGGCAGCAAAUCCAACAAUCUGCUCACUCUGACCUUGUUUCAGUGACUAUUCUAGACAGAUUGCAGAAGCCACACAUAACGGUCCUUCACGAUGGCUCCACCUCCAUUGUCUGUGACAUACCCAAGCAUUUUGGUGAUGCUCUCAGCUGCCAACUUUACACUGGAGAUGAACCUCAGUUUUAUCUCCAAUCGAAGACAUCAAAGAGUGCAUCUGGAGACCUUUCCUGCCAGUUUACAGUGAAUAAGGAUGAUUUAUUCAGACGUCUGCGGUCAGUGAGGAGCAGAGGGGUGAGCUGUGAUUAUACAGUGAACACAGAACAUCCAUCUCUCUCUCCACGCAGUGACCCACACAACUUUACAGAAACAACAACAACAACAACAACAACAACAACAACGUAUGUAUCAUCAUCACAGCCAGGUAGGCAUCAUGUAUUUUAGUGUUGUCAUUGCUUACCCAUGGAAAGUCCUCAAUAUUUCAUGUCACUGUAAAACUACUUUUAUGAUUUUAUAAUGAAAUUAAUCUAAACAACCUUUAAACUACCCACCUAAACUGUAAGUAUUCCACUGAUAUUUUGUCAUCCUAUUAUCUAGCUUUAAAGUCCAGCCGAACCUUAGUGUUAAACACAUUGGCACAUUUCCAACACUAAUGGUAACUAAUUCUAAGAUGGUCUGUAGUGGUUAAAAUUGUCGCACACAUUUAAUUAAUUAAUCAGAAACCAAACAAUUUGAGA